UUCCAUUUUCUUUGGAUUCAUGAAGCAAAGCUGACAAGCCGCCUAUCUGUCAUCAGUACCUCUGAGUGGGUUUCAGUGAAGCAGAGCCAAGCAACAGACCUCCUUUGUUGGGGGAGAAGGACUAUGCUUCUCUGGAGAUUAACAUCUGUAAACCUAUGAGGUUUAAAGUGAAGACAAUCAAUAAGGGAUCACAAAGAGAAAAUAAAAGUGAAGAUUAAUCUCAGGAGAAUUAUAUUUGCCAUUCAUUUGGAUGAAGAAGACAUUAAAGGUAUUCCAGUUGCCCUGUAUUCUCAUGAGAAAAUGUUUUCAAUGGUCACACCCGGCGAUGCUUAGGGGUUAUUCCUGACUCUGCACUCAGGAAUCACUCCUGGCGAUGCUCAGGGAAUCAUAUGGGAUACUGGGAAUCGAAUUCAGGUUGGCCUCGUGCAAGGCAAACGCCCUACCCGCUGUGCUAUCACUCCAGCCCCCGGUUCUUGAAAUUUUUUCUCAUUGACUUUGUCCAAACCUGGAACACUCAGGGAUUAUUACUGGCUCUGCACUCAAAUAUCACCACUGGUAGAGUUUGGGGGACCACACUGGAUACUAGGGUUGGAAUUCAGGUCAUAUGUGAGGCGAGCAACUCUAUCCACUGUACUAUCAUUCCAGUCCCAGUUUCUUCCCUUUCUCUCUCUUGCCCUCCCCCAUAGCCCUGCCCCUCCUUCAGAUUGCUAUACAGUUUUCUCAGCACCCUGUGCUGAAUGAAGAGACUCUUCUAACUCCACUUCUUGCAUUUAGCUCUGAUGUAAACAAGUAGAUAGGAAAUGACCCCAUUGCCAUGGAAUUACUAGGAAACAAUAAAAGCAGUAUCGCCAAGGCUAUAAAAUGCCCACCUUACAGAGAGACUAAAGAAGGCCUGGUAAAACCUCACCUGGUGCCAAGAGACCCAGAGAGGGCUAGACCUCCCUCUGAGAGAAGAUCCAGCAGGAACAAUGAGGAACAAAAGGAAUUUCAAAGAAGACCAUUGACUACUAACUCUACCUACCCGCUUGGCAACUGCUGUAGCAAGAGUCUUACCUAGGUAGAAGCCUCACGUAGAGAAACUCUAUAAAAAGCCAUCUUGAACAAAGGAAGCUCGUGUAUUGCAUGCUGUCCAAGCCCAUGUGCUACUUGUGCCCAUGUGGCUGAGCACAUGUUGCCUGCAUUUUCCCUCUUGAGAUGUAUACUGGGGUCUCUCCAUCUCUGGAGAAGCCCACCUUCUCUCUUGAUUGCGUUAUUCUCCUUUUGCUCUCUCUCCUUCCCCUUCCUAGAAGGCUUCAAAUAAAGUCUG